rnacentral:lncRNA from 1 species
UUGGAUUCAAAGUGUGGUUGGCAUAACCCUGCUCACACCAAAACAAAAGCGGAUAGUUUUCUCAACAAAUGUCCUUUGUUUGUGCAGAGAUUCUUCCUCAAGCCCUAAAAAAAGACAACGAAUUAUUUAAUCAUUCAAAUGUACUUUUUAAAUCACUUAUGCAACUUUACACACCUUUAAGUAAGUUCGAAAAUAGUGAUUGAAUUUG